rnacentral:lncRNA from 1 species
AAUAGUUAGGAUUAGCUUCUCUGUUUAGUGGAAUAAAUCCACAGACAUGAAUUCUGGUUAAUUCAUCAUUUCAUGACUUCAUGUUGCUAAAUUUUAGAGGCUGUUGUAUUUUGAACAGGCUGCUUUUUUUUUUUUUUUUUUUUUAGUUUAUUUAUUUUUCUCCUUGCAAGGAAAUUUCCAGAAUAUAGAACAUCACGGUAGUUGAUUCUACAUGUUACACAUACAUCGUUUGUUUGGUGAGUUAUAAGCCCAAGCGUACUGAGCACACUUACAGAUGUAAAUUAACAUUUUUACCACUCUGGAGGUUUAGAUGUCCUAGCAAAAUCUCACAGCCCUGUUUAAAGCAAAAUCACUAUUAAAAGCAAGAAUAACUGUUUGAGAUUUCACCAAGUGUGACAUCUAGUCCAUGUCCAAGUUGAUGAUGCAAUAGUUAAACAGCCACUUGUGAUUUAUUAUGUGUACAAAACUCAUGAAGAACUCUGAGCAAAAUGCUCGUUGGUGAUGGUGUGACAUGGAGGGCUACUCUGUUCUCUGCUGCUUUAACCUGGUUUGAAUGGCCUACAUCAAUCCUUACAUUUAAUGACAGAAAACUCAGCUUAACCUUGCUGUAAAGAGUCUUCUUAGGAAAACUUUUUACUGUGGCAGUUCACUGGAGGGUCAUCACUACAGCAGAUCUCUUCUAGAGGAGUUU